rnacentral:lncRNA from 1 species
GAAAUCAAUGCGCACAGGCAGUACGCUGCGCCUUCUUUGUCCUCUUCUUCGUAUCCCUCUCAUAUCAGAAUCGCAGCAGCAGAAAAAGCAUGUAUCUUACCCCAUUUCCUCUUCCGGAAUAGGGUGAAUUUUCAUAGAAAAGGUGUUUAGCCGGAAUGGUGAAAGGAUUUCAGAUUUGAAAUUCGAAUGGGCUCUUAUUGAUCCGGAUUUCAGCCUCUUUCCCCCCAAAAAUCCAAACCCUAAUUGCUCCCUAUAUAAACAUCUUUUAUGUUCAUUUGUAAAAGGGGUGGGCGGAAUUUUGAGGUUGAAAAUUUCUAGCUGAAAAUAGAGAACAACUUAAGUUAAACAGAUACAAAAUCCUGUCAAAGAAAAAAUAGAAAGUUAUCUGGUAAGGGUAGUCGCUUGUUUGAGUUUGAAACUUCUGCUCGGAUUUCUUGCUCGUGGUGGAAGGGUCGUAGCUACUAGCUUGUUGUCCCUGUUCGCUGCCAGAAAAAAGGGUAACGCCUUCCCCUUUUCAAUAUUUUCUUCAUCUUUGUUGUUUCAAUAUGAUAUUAAUAGUUGUGGUUGUUGACUUUUGUCGAGUUUGGUAAUCUGAAUAUGAUAUGUGUCUGUCCGUAAUCGAUUUCUGAUUCCAUGUCCUGGUAGAGUCAAGCAUCAGUAAGCUAUUUUGGAUGUUACAUAGUGAUGAUUUUGUAUCUCUACUGUUAGCUGAGCUCUUGUUUGAGUUUGCCUAGAUUACAUUCGGUUUCAAAGAUAUUUAGUUUCAGUUUGGUUCGUGUGGAGGGUUGACUUUGGGCCGCUAUUGUUCUUGUUUUCUCGAUUUUCACAGAUGUAUCAUAAUUAGUUUCGAAGUACUCUACUAGUCUUAAUUCGCUCCUGUUUGUUAUGAAUCUGCAGUAGCACUUAAUGUUCAAAGUCGUGUUCUUCAUUCUUUUACCACUAGGUUGAGCGAAUGAAUCGAGACAUCAAGUUGUUUUGAGCUCAUUUUUGUGUCUUUAGGAUUGUUCAUCUUGAUUUUGCCCAUCUGAACACUGUUGAACAUGAACAUGUUUUGCCUGUACAUUAUUUUGUCUUCAAGGACCAGAUCCUCCGUUUUGUCCGUCAUCUAUUAGCAUUCUCUUCAAAAUAAGCCUAAGGUCGUAAGGUUGAUAGUAUGGUUUAGUACAAAAACAUGUGUUAUAGUAGAUUUAUUUAUUUUUCUAAAAAAAAAAAAUAUCAGCGUGCUAAUGUUAGUUUGAACUAAUUAAUUUGCUUAACAUAAAGAUCAUGUGGAUAUUUUUUUUCAAGCCUUUACUUUGAAAUAUAAGUCCAUGUGUUCAUUUUGAAUACAUGUUUAUGACGAAUUACAAUUAGAAAAGUCCCAAAUUAUGCAUGCCGUAUUACUUGCUUCCCUUAAAUGCUUGAAUUUCUUUUAUCUCUUUUCUUAUUCCAUUACCCAAAGGAAUCAUCUUUCUCUCUAUUGUCGGUUCAUAUUAGCUCAUUAUUUUUUAUUUGAGUUUUGUUUUGCUUAGAAUAAGAAGACUAAUGUCUGUGGAAACCUUUCUUCCACCUUCAAUUUGAUGUGAUAUGCUUUAGUUGUGGUCUAAUUAAUGACUAUUUAGUUUCAAAUCUCUAUUAUUAAUAUUCUAUAUUUUGGACUUGUAGGGGCACUGGUGAGUUAUUAAUUUUUACCUCUUAAUUGUUUACAUGUGAUACCAACCCGAGUCCACCUUGGACUCAUUUCUUGCAUUUCCUUGAGUUGAUUUUCUUCAAGUCAACCCCAUCUUGUCCAAGCUGCUGGGAAACUGAUAAGGGCUGGAAAUCAAAAAUAAUGUCCUGGAAAGCUAAAAUCAGGCUGUAUACAGCCGUAUACCCUGAUAUACAUGGAAAAAAUAUCGAUACACAGGUUCAAAAAAUGAAGUGCAGGCUGCAGGGGUCAAAAUAGACUGUAUACACUCCAUAUACGGUCUGAUAUACACGAAAAUGAGUAAAAACAUGGCUUAUAUACAGCGGUAUACGCCAAAUGUAUACACAAAAUUUCAACUGUAUGAAGGGGCGAAAAUGGGCUGAAACCCAUCAGCAGGCCCACUCUUAGAAUUUAGGACAGGUUUGGGCCAAGAAUUUGAAUUUGGGCAAAGGGCCCAAAUUUGACAUUUUCUUUUCACCUGUGUUUAUUUAUCAUUGUGUUGACUAACCUUACUUGUUUUGUUGUUACGG